GAUGAACGCUGGCGGCGUGCUUAACACAUGCAAGUCGAACGGAGCUUUGUUACGGAAUCUUCGGAAGAAGUGAUGAAGCUUAGUGGCGGACGGGUGAGUAACACGUGAGCAACCUACCUUUUGCAGGGGAAUAACUCUGGGAAACCAGAGCUAAUACCGCAUGACGUACACAUGAGGCAUCUUAGGUGUAUGAAAGGAGUAAUCCGGCAGAAGAUGGGCUCGCGUCCGAUUAGGUAGUUGGUGGGUAAGGGCCUACCAAGCCGACGAUCGGUAGCCGGACUGAGAGGUCGACCGGCCACAUUGGGACUGAGACACGGCCCAGACUCCUACGGGAGGCAGCAGUGGGGAAUAUUGGGCAAUGGGCGGAAGCCUGACCCAGCGACGCCGCGUGAAGGAGGAAGGCUUUCGAGUUGUAAACUUCUUUGGGGAGGGACGAAGAUGACGGUACCUCCAGAACAAGCCACGGCUAACUACGUG
rnacentral:rRNA from 1 species